rnacentral:rRNA from 1 species
CCUACGGGGGGCAGCAGUGAGGAAUAUUGGUCAAUGGGCGUGAGCCUGAACCAGCCAAGUCGCGUGAGGGCUGACGGUUCUAUGGAUCGUAAACCUCUUUUAUAAGGUAAUAAAGUGUGGGACGUGUCCUAUUUUGUAUGUACCUUAUGAAUAAGGAUCGGCUAACUCCGUGCCAGCAGCCGCGGUAAUACGGAGGAUCCGAGCGUUAUCCGGAUUUAAUGGGUUUAAAGGGAGCGUAGACGGUCUGUUAAGUCAGCGGUGAAAGUUUGUGGCUCAACCAUAGAAUUGCCGUUGAGACUGGGGGGCUGGAGUAUGGUUGAGGUAGGCGGAAUGCGUGGUGUAGCGGUGAAAUGCUUAGAUAUCACGCAGAACCCCGAUUGCGAAGGCAGCUUGCUAAGCUACGACUGACGCUGAUGCACGAAAGUGUGGGGAUCAAACAGGAUUAGAUACCCGAGUAGUC